rnacentral:rRNA from 1 species
GAUGAACGCUGGCGGCGUGCCUAAUACAUGCAAGUCGAGCGAACGGACGAGAAGCUUGCUUCUCUGAUGUUAGCGGCGGACGGGUGAGUAACACGUGGAUAACCUACCUAUAAGACUGGGAUAACUUCGGGAAACCGGAGCUAAUACCGGAUAAUAUUUUGAACCGCAUGGUUCAAGAGUGAAAGACGGUCUUGCUUUCACUUAUAGAUGGAUCCGCGCUGCAUUAGCUAGUUGGUAAGGUAACGGCUUACCAAGGCAACGAUGCAUAGCCGACCUGAGAGGGGGAUCGCCCACACUGGAACUGAGACACGGUCCAGACUCCUACGGGAGGCAGCAGUAGGGAAUCUUCCGCAAUGGGCGAAGUCCUGACGGAGCAACGCCGCGUGAGUGAUGAAGGUCUUCGGAUCGUAAAACUCUGUUAUUAGGGAAGAACAUAUGUGUAAGUAACUGUGCACAUCUUGACGGUACCUAAUCAGAAAGCCACGGCUAACUACGUG